rnacentral:rRNA from 1 species
UGCAGUCGAGGGGUAUUGGGGCUUCGGCCCUGAGAGACCGGCAAACGGGUGCGGAACACGUACACAACCUACCUUUAUCAGGGGAAUAGCCCAGAGAAAUUUGGAUUAAUGCCCCAUAGUAUAAUUGAAUGGCAUCAUUUGAUUAUUAAAGAACUUCGGAUAGAGAUGGGUGUGCGUAAGAUUAGCUAGUUGGUAAGGUAACGGCUUACCAAGGCGACGAUCUUUAGCUGAUGUGAGAGCAUGAUCAGCCACACGGGCACUGAGACACGGGCCCGACUCCUACGGGAGGCAGCAGUGAGGAAUAUUGGUCAAUGGACGGAAGUCUGAACCAGCCAUGCCGCGUGAAGGAUGAAGGCGUUCUGCGUUGUAAACUUCUUUUAUCUGAGAAGAAACCACCGAUUUCUAUUGGUGUUGACGGUAUCAGAUGAAUAAGCACCGGCUAACUCCGUGCCAGCAGCCGCGGUAAUACGGAGGGUGCAAGCGUUAUCCGGAUUUACUGGGUUUAAAGGGUGUGUAGGCGGACUUAUAAGUCAGGGGUGAAAUCUCCGAGCUCAACUCGGAAACUGCCUUUGAUACUAUUAGUCUUGAAUUAUGUUGAGGUUGGCGGAAUAUAACAUGUAGCGGUGAAAUGCAUAGAUAUGUUAUAGAACACCGAUUGCGAAAGCAGCUGGCUAAACAUAUAUUGACGCUGAGGCACGAAAGCGUGGGUAGCGAACAGGAUUAGAUACCCUGGUAGUCCACGCCCUAAACGAUGAUUACUCGUCAUUGGCGAUACACAGUCAGUGACCAAGCGAAAGCGUUAAGUAAUCCACCUGGGAAGUACGACCGCAAGGUUGAAACUUCA